UGAGUUUAUAUCGAUCUCCUGGU
rnacentral:piRNA from 1 species